rnacentral:rRNA from 1 species
GACGAACGCUGGCGGCGUGCUUAACACAUGCAAGUCGAACGGAAAGGCCCUGCUUUUGUGGGGUGCUCGAGUGGCGAACGGGUGAGUAACACGUGAGUAACCUGCCCUUGACUUUGGGAUAACUUCAGGAAACUGGGGCUAAUACCGGAUAGGAGCUCCUGCUGCAUGGUGGGGGUUGGAAAGUUUCGGCGGUUGGGGAUGGACUCGCGGCUUAUCAGCUUGUUGGUGAGGUAGUGGCUUACCAAGGCUUUGACGGGUAGCCGGCCUGAGAGGGUGACCGGCCACAUUGGGACUGAGAUACGGCCCAGACUCCUACGGGAGGCAGCAGUGGGGAAUAUUGCACAAUGGGCGGAAGCCUGAUGCAGCAACGCCGCGUGCGGGAUGACGGCCUUCGGGUUGUAAACCGCUUUCGCCUGUGACGAAGCGUGAGUGACGGUAAUGGGUAAAGAAGCACCGGCUAACUACGUGCCAGCAGCCGCGGUGAUACGUAGGGUGCGAGCGUUGUCCGGAUUUAUUGGGCGUAAAGGGCUCGUAGGUGGUUGAUCGCGUCGGAAGUGUAAUCUUGGGGCUUAACCCUGAGCGUGCUUUCGAUACGGGUUGACUUGAGGAAGGUAGGGGAGAAUGGAAUUCCUGGUGGAGCGGUGGAAUGCGCAGAUAUCAGGAGGAACACCAGUGGCGAAGGCGGUUCUCUGGGCCUUUCCUGACGCUGAGGAGCGAAAGCGUGGGGAGCGAACAGGCUUAGAUACCCUGGUAGUCCACGCUGUAAACGGUGGGUACUAGGUGUGGGGUCCAUUCCACGGGUUCCGUGCCGUAGCUAACGCUUUAAGUACCCCGCCUGGGGAGUACGGCCGCAAGGCUAAAACUCAAAGGAAUUGACGGGGCCCCGCACAAGCGGCGGAGCAUGCGGAUUAAUUCGAUGCAACGCGUAGAACCUUACCUGGGUUUGACAUGGAUCGGGAGCGCUCAGAGAUGGGUGUGCCUCUUUUGGGGUCGGUUCACAGGUGGUGCAUGGCUGUCGUCAGCUCGUGUCGUGAGAUGUUGGGUUAAGUCCCGCAACGAGCGCAACCCUUGUUCACUGUUGCCAGCACGUUAUGGUGGGGACUCAGUGGAGACCGCCGGGGUCAACUCGGAGGAAGGUGGGGAUGACGUCAAGUCAUCAUGCCCCUUAUGUCCAGGGCUUCACGCAUGCUACAAUGGCUGGUACAGAGAGUGGCGAGCCUGUGAGGGUGAACGAAUCUCGGAAAGCCGGUCUCAGUUCGGAUUGGGGUCUGCAACUCGACCUCAUGAAGUCGGAGUCGCUAGUAAUCGCAGAUCAGCAACGCUGCGGUGAAUACGUUCCCGGG